rnacentral:rRNA from 1 species
GCUUGUCUCAAAGAUUAAGCCAUGCAUGUCUUAGUGUAAAUAACUCUUAUGAAACUGCGAAUGGCUCAUUAAAUCAGUUAUCAAAUACGUGAUGGUCGCCUACUACAUGGAUAACCGUAGUAAUUCUAGAGCUAAUACAUGCAUAAAUACCCAACUGUUCGCGGACGGGUAGUAUUUAUUAGAUUGAAACCAAUUGAUCUCGGUCAACUUGUGGUGAUUCAUAAUAACUUUGCGGAUCGCAUGGCCUUGCGCCGGCGAUAGAUCGUAAGCGUUUCUACCCUAUCAGCUCUGGAUUGUAGUGUAUUGGACUA